UGUGUGUGUGUGAUGUAUGCGUGCCAAUAAUGUUCAAUUGAGUGAGUGCACCAUGGGAUUUGUGUUGACCAUUUAUUAGCAACAAUAGCUUCAAUGGAGGAAGCUUGACUUUGGCUUGGUGUAGCUAGAAGGCAAAUGACUUGCAAGAUCUUAGGAAGCCUCACAAAGGUCCUCACUAACCUUAAAGGAGGUCAAUGCGUCCCAUAGAACCUUUGGAAGAUCCAAGAG
rnacentral:misc_RNA from 1 species